UAUUUGUAUGCAGUUUAUGUUACUGUUAUUAAGAUCUCUUUGUUUUACAUUACAAGCUGUUAGAAUUUCAUCCUACUUUUUGUCCAUAUACAUAUCAGCUUGUUUUUGCUCUGUUUGUUCUGAGUAAAGUUGAGGUGUUUCCUUAAAAAGCCCUGUAUUCUCACUAUAUCAUACUUUUUGAGCCAAAAACCUGAUGUAUCAAAUAUGGCACAAAACAUGAACACGCACAAAUUUUUAGUUCCAUUCCAGAAAAUUAUUUUUUUCUGCAUAUUAUUUCAUAGGCGAGGCUUUACAAGGUUAAAGUGAAUCUUUAACUUUAAAAUUAUCAUUUUGAAUUUUGUUUUCCAGGUUAAGCCAAAUAUGAAGCAAGCAGUGCCAUGUGUGGUGUCACCAUGCAAACGCAUCAUCACCACAAAGACAAUGACCUCUGAACCCAGACUCAGCCAAUCAGAGAGUGUUCAGGGAUUUGACUUCCUGUGGAUUGCUUGAGAAGGAAAAUGUUUUGUUGUUUUCAAUGUUUUUUACCCUUCUUUGUUUGUGAGAUAGAGAUGCAGUUUUAAGGGUCUGUGUUGCGGACCUGCUAGUUUGAAUAGUUAUUCUCGUUUGAAUAUUGUAGCUGAUUUUGUUCAAGUUUGAAAGCUUUUGAAAAACCGAUGCACCCAAAGACGUGUCAGAUCUGACCAGAACGAGACUAAAUGGACUGAGGUGGGAACGAAAUGGAACGGAACGCAAUAGAAAAUAGAUGCAUGAUUGAAGGACGAACGUGAUGAGUUGAUUGGCUGGCUGAGGUAUGUGGGCGUGGUUUGUUGGAUGUGGGUGUGGUCAUGUUGAUUUCAAGGACGCAGUUGCUGCAAAUGCAGUAUAAAUGACCUUCUAAAGGAACUAAAUUAAAGAAAGGGUCGAGUUCAGUACUGUAAUUUAUUUUCGAUUUACUUUUUUAUUUAUUUUCAGUAGACGGACAGCAUUUUAGCAGCUUUUCCAUGUACAUUCGAGGAAAUAUUUUGGUCGUUUCAAAUAUUUGAGUUCAGAUUUUCAAGUCCAAUUCAGCAUUUAUGUAUAUUUAAGAUCAGAUUUAUUUAGUUUUACAGAUUUUCAAAUAG
rnacentral:lncRNA from 1 species